rnacentral:rRNA from 1 species
AACGAACGCUGGCGGCAUGCCUAACACAUGCAAGUCGAACGAGACCUUCGGGUCUAGUGGCGCACGGGUGCGUAACGCGGGGGAACCUGCCCUUAGGCUCGGAAUAACUCCCCGAAAGGGGUGCUAAUACCGGAUAAUGUCUUCGGACCAAAGAUUUAUCGCCUUUGGAUGGGCCCGCGUUGGAUUAGCUAGUUGGUAGUGUAAAAGCCUGCCAAGGCGACGAUCCAUAGCUGGUCUGAGAGGAUGAUCAGCCACACUGGGACUGAGACACGGCCCAGACUCCUACGCGAGGCAGCAGUGGGGAAUAUUGGACUACCGGCGAAAUCCUGAUCCAGCACUGCCGCGUGAGUGAUGAAGGCCUUAGGGUUGUAAAGCUCUUUUACCCGGGAUGAUAAUGACAGUACCGGGAGAAUAAGCUCCGGCUAACUCCGUG